AUUGAACGCUGGCGGCAGGCCUAACACAUGCAAGUCGAACGAGUGGCGGACGGGUGAGUAAUGUCUGGGAAACUGCCUGCUGGAGGGGGAUAACUACUGGAAACGGUAGCUAAUACCGCAUACCAUCGGAUGUGCCCAGAUGGGAUUAGCUAGUAGGUGGGGUAAAGGCUCACCUAGGCGACGAUCCCUAGCUGGUCUGAGAGGAGGACCAGCCACACUGGAACUGAGACACGGUCCAGACUCCUACGGGAGGCAGCAGUGGGGAAUAUUUGACAAUGGGCGAAAGCCUGAUCCAGCCAUGCCGCGUGUAUGAAGAAGGCCUUCGGGUUGUAAAGUACUUUCAGCGGGGAGGCGUUACCCACAGAAGAAGCACCGGCUAACUCCGUGCCAGCAGCCGCGGUAAUUC
rnacentral:rRNA from 1 species